rnacentral:rRNA from 1 species
GUGGGGUGCUCGAGUGGCGAACGGGUGAGUAACACGUGAGUAACCUGCCCUUGACUUUGGGAUAACUUCAGGAAACUGGGGCUAAUACCGGAUAGGAGCUCCUGCUGCAUGGUGGGGGUUGGAAAGUUUCGGCGGUUGGGGAUGGACUCGCGGCUUAUCAGCUUGUUGGUGGGGUAGUGGCUUACCAAGGCUUUGACGGGUAGCCGGCCUGAGAGGGUGACCGGCCACAUUGGGACUGAGAUACGGCCCAGACUCCUACGGGAGGCAGCAGUGGGGAAUAUUGCACAAUGGGCGGAAGCCUGAUGCAGCAACGCCGCGUGCGGGAUGACGGCCUUCGGGUUGUAAACCGCUUUCGCCUGUGACGAAGCGUGAGUGACGGUAAUGGGUAAAGAAGCACCGGCUAACUACGUGCCAGCAGCCGCGGUGAUACGUAGGGUGCGAGCGUUGUCCGGAUUUAUUGGGCGUAAAGGGCUCGUAGGUGGUUGAUCGCGUCGGAAGUGUAAUCUUGGGGCUUAACCCUGAGCGUGCUUUCGAUACGGGUUGACUUGAGGAAGGUAGGGGAGAAUGGAAUUCCUGGUGGAGCGGUGGAAUGCGCAGAUAUCAGGAGGAACACCAGUGGCGAAGGCGGUUCUCUGGGCCUUUCCUGACGCUGAGGAGCGAAAGCGUGGGGAGCGAACAGGCUUAGAUACCCUGGUAGUCCACGCUGUAAACGGUGGGUACUAGGUGUGGGGUCCAUUCCACGGGUUCCGUGCCGUAGCUAACGCUUUAAGUACCCCGCCUGGGGAGUACGGCCGCAAGGCUAAAACUCAAAGGAAUUGACGGGGCCCCGCACAAGCGGCGGAGCAUGCGGA